UACGGAGGGUGCAAGCGUUAUCCGGAUUCACUGGGUUUAAAGGGUGCGUAGGAGGGCAGGUAAGUCAGUGGUGAAAUCUUCGAGCUUAACUCGGAAACUGCCGUUGAUACUAUCUGUCUUGAAUCCCGUGGAGAUGAGCGGAAUAUGUCAUGUAGCGGUGAAAUGCUUAGAUAUGACAUAGAACACCAAUUGCGAAGGCAGCUCGUUACACGAAGAUUGACUCUGAGGCAACGAAAGCGUGGGGAUCAAACAGG
rnacentral:rRNA from 1 species